AACGAACGCUGGCGGCAGGCCUAACACAUGCAAGUCGAGCGCCCGGAUUUAUCCGGGAGCGGCGCACGGGUGAGUAACACGUGGGAACAUGCCCUGAAGUACAGAACAUCCGAGGGAAACUUUGGCUAAUACCGUAUACGCCCUGAGGGGGAAAGAUUUUAUCGCUUCAGGAUUGGCCCGCGUUGGAUUAGCUAGUUGGUGCGGUAACGGCGCACCAAGGCGACGAUCCAUAGCUGAUCUGAGAGGAUGAUCAGCCACACUGGGACUGAGACACGGCCCAGACUCCUACGGGAGGCAACAGUGGGGAAUAUUGGACAAUGGGCGCAAGCCUGAUCCAGCCAUGCCGCGUGAGUGAAGAAGGCCUUCGGGUUGUAAAGCUCUUUCAGCGGGGACGAUGAUGACGGUACCCGCAGAAGAAGCCCCGGCUAACUUCGUGCCAGCAGCCGCCGUAA
rnacentral:rRNA from 1 species